UACGUAUGGUGCAAGCGUUGUCCGGAAUUACUGGGCGUAAAGAGUUCGUAGGCGGUCAAAUAAGUCAGGAGUGAAAGGCUACGGCUCAACCGUAGUGAGCUUUUGAAACUGUUUGACUUGAGUACUGGAGAGGAAAGUGGAAUUCCUAGUGUAGCGGUGAAAUGCGUAGAUAUUAGGAGGAACACCAGUGGCGAAGGCGGCUUUCUGGACAGUAACUGACGCUGAGGAACGAAAGCGUGGGGAGCAAACAGG
rnacentral:rRNA from 1 species